rnacentral:tRNA from 2 species
GACCAUAUAGCUCAGUGGUUAGAGCGUCCCUCAUGUGUAGAGGAGGUUCAAUUCCGGAUGUGGUCA